AUUGAACGCUGGCGGCAUGCUUUACACAUGCAAGUCGAACGGUAACAGGCCGCAAGGUGCUGACUAGUGGCGAAGGGGGGAGUAAUGCAUCGGAACGUGCCCAGGCGUGGGGGAUAACUAGUCCAAAGAGGAGCUAAUACCGCAUACGAGCUAUGGAGGAGAGCGGGGGGGCGCAAGGGCUCUCGCGAUUUGAGAUGACGAUGUCAGAUUUGGUAGUUGGGGGGGGAAAGGCGCACCAAGACAACGAUCUGUAGCUGGUCUGAGAGGAUGACCAGCCACACUGGAACUGAGACACGGCCCAGACUCCUACGGGAGGCAGCAGUGGGGAAUAUUGGACAAUGGGCGCAAGCCUGAUCCAGCCAUGCCGCGUGUAGGAAGAAGGUCUUCGGGUUGUAAAGCGCUUUUGUAUGGAAGGAAACGCAUCUGGUUAAUACCUGGCUGUAAUGACGGUACCGAAAGAAUAAGCACCGGCUAACUACGUG
rnacentral:rRNA from 1 species